GUCAUCCUGGAAGAAGAAAGAAAAACACAAUCCAUAACUAACACGAUUACCCUUAUUGCACCCCCGUCUCUUUCUCUUUGGUAAAAUCUGUCUAAGGGUUGGACCUACUAAUCUGCAAAGAAAGCCAGCAAAUAAUCAACAGCAAAAAUGGGUGUUCUUACAAGGAAGCUCCAGUCCUGUGUGUCCUGUGGUGUUGCGUACACAUGGUGGGGAGUGUCUUCCAUCAGCCAUGUCGGACUCUGAACACUGAGCCUCGCCGUGAAUCACAGCCAGACCCAAACGCAGGCGUUCCGCAUAGGACUGAGCCCUAAAUAAAAAAUUUUAAAAAGGAGAGAAAAAAACAUGUAUGUGUAUGUAAUCAUAUUUAGUCACAUACAUUGCAAUUAUAUUUUUAAAAAAAACAUUUGUAUGAUGAAUAGUUCUGGUUUAAUGUAAUGUUUUUAUAUUAAGACCAUUAAAAUGUAAUUUCAUCAUAAGCUAACAGAAGGGGAGAACUAGCAGAGGUGACAUGGGUUCAUUUUUAUCCAUCAGUUACCUUUUAGCUGCUGACGGGGACUUUGCCACAAUGAUGGCAUUUCUGUAAUCGGGAAUCUGACAGGACGAAGAAGAACGGAUGUCAAUGUUUAUGACAAAUUGAUUGAUUGAUUUGGUUAAUAGGUUGGUUACCGACGCCUAUACCUAAACACGCACAGUAGACAAUAG